GAUUUGCUUGGAUAGCAAAAAUGAAAAGUUUUCUGCUCCAUAUGUAACGAUGCUACUAAUUUGCCCAUAGAAACACACAUGGAAUAACAAAGAAGAUCACCUGAUAGCACAACAAGACGAGACUGGGACUGCUUUGGGAACCCUCCAAAUCACUGAUUUCCUCCACAAGGGAUGAGCACAAUGCAUCAGACAUGGUGUGAUGAGACCCUGAGAAGCCUGAACCAUCCAGACUGAUGCACAAGAACAAUCAGGAAGGACUGAAAGGUUGGAGGCAUAUCUGGAGAAGACUAGGAUUGAACAUCUAGUGAGGAUAAUGAGAGAUUUGCUGUGAAGAAAGCGG